rnacentral:rRNA from 1 species
AGUGAACGCUGGCGGUAGGCCUAACACAUGCAAGUCGAACGGCAGCACAGUAAGAGCUUGCUCUUACGGGUGGCGAGUGGCGGACGGGUGAGGAAUACAUCGGAAUCUACUUUUUCGUAGGGGAUAACGUAGGGAAACUUGCGCUAAUACCGCAUACGACCUACGGGUGAAAGCAGGGGAUCUUCGGACCUUGCGCGAUUGAAUGAGCCGAUGUCGGAUUAGCUAGUUGGCGGGGUAAAGGCCCACCAAGGCGACGAUCCGUAGCUGGUCUGAGAGGAUGUUCAGCCACACUGGAACUGAGACACGGUCCAGACUCCUACGGGAGGCAGCAGUGGGGAAUAUUGGACAAUGGGCGCAAGCCUGAUCCAGCCAUACCGCGUGGGUGAAGAAGGCCUUCGGGUUGUAAAGCCCUUUUGUUGGGAAAGAAAAGCAGCAGGUUAAUACCCCGCUGUUCUGACGGUACCCAAAGAAUAAGCACCGGCUAACUUCGUG